UACUGCGAUCAUCAGGUCUGAGGGCACAGUAGAUGGAAUUCACAAGCCUUUCCAAGUCACCUCCUGCGUAAAGCCCUGAACAGACAGUCCCAGAAGUGAAGAUCGUGGGGUCAGGAAUAGCACUUCCGAUUGAAGAAAUUGUUAGGACCAACACAUUCCAAUCUGCUCAGAAAGGAUCCACAUUUGUUUCAGGAGUGAUUU
rnacentral:lncRNA from 1 species